rnacentral:rRNA from 1 species
CCAGACUCCUACGGGAGGCAGCAGUGAGGAAUAUUGGUCAAUGGGCGCGAGCCUGAACCAGCCAAGUCGCGUGAGGGAAGACGGUCCUAUGGAUUGUAAACCUCUUUUGUCGGGGAGCAAAAGACGCCACGCGUGGCGUUCCGAGAGUACCCGAAGAAAAAGCAUCGGCUAACUCCGUGCCAGCAGCCGCGGUAAUACGGAGGAUGCGAGCGUUAUCCGGAUUUAUUGGGUUUAAAGGGUGCGCAGGCGGAGGUGCAAGUCAGCGGUCAAAUUGCGGGGCUCAACCCCGUACUGCCGUUGAAACUGCAUCCCUUGAGUGCGCGAGAAGUAUGCGGAAUGCGUGGUGUAGCGGUGAAAUGCAUAGAUAUCACGCAGAACUCCGAUUGCGAAGGCAGCAUACCGGCGCGCAACUGACGCUCAUGCACGAAAGCGUGGGUAUCGAACAGGAUUAGAUACCCCAGUA